rnacentral:misc_RNA from 1 species
CGAGGGCAGGAGGUGGUCACACGGACGCCCACACAAGAGCGGCUUGACUAUCUGUGCGUGUAGAACACUUCGCAACGAGCCCCUAACCCUCCUUCCCCUCCUCGCAUGCGCACACACCUCCACCGUAAAGCACGCUGUGCUCGCACAUACCUUCCGGCACUCGCAAUUCGAUAGAGGGCGCUGAACACAGCGGACGAAAGAGACAGAGGGAGACGCACAGCGAGGCGUGGUUUUACGACUUGCAAGCACACCACGCAUACACACACUGGUGCGUGCGUGCGCGUUUUGUGUGCGUGCAGACGCACCGACAGCUCCCCUGGAGGCCCGCCUCCUGUUCCCCUGUGUCUUUUCCCGCUCGCGCGCGCGCUUCCCGCCGCGACUCGUCUCGAUAAGAGGGCAGCAUCUCAUUCUUUCUCGCUCUCUCACCUGUAGGAAAGGCCUCGGCUCUUGGGGGUUUGCACCGCUCAUUUCCGUUUUUUUUUUCUGCUUUGUGGCACGAUCCUGCCGACCCAUUUCCCUCUGUACCUGCCUCUUCUCUCUCUUCGGGUUCGGGUGUGGGCGUCCGACGCGGCUACUUGUCAAGAGCAUCAUCGCAUCACUUCCACUUGCUCUCGGAUUCUUUUUGUUUGUGUCGGUCUUGUUAGUCGCCCUCUCCCACUCCCCCACACUACUAUUCCUUCUCCCCCGUGUGCUACUCUCUCAUACCACGACUCUACCGCCUUCCAACCCCCCCCUCUCAUCCUCACCCCCGCCCCGCACACGCUUUAUGCUGCAUAUACGUGACCAUCUUUGUUUUGGUAUCAUCUCUCUCUCGUCCUUGUAACUCGCGCGUGUGAGCGUCUGUCUCUGCGUGAGGGUGCGAGUUCUUCACGCCUGCUCAGACACGCUAUCGCCACCCCUCACUUAUCUCCCCAACCUCCACCUUCCCUCCUCCAAACUCUCUGGUUAGCGCGGCUCAAAAUUUUAGUGCGUACUUCCUGUGCGCUUCGUCUGCCUUCUGCUUUCUUUUCGCGCUCCGCGAUCUACUCACCCUCGACGCUCUCCCCUCCCGCAUCGCCAUCCCAUUCCGGCGAUUCUCUGCGAAGAGGGAGGCUGCUGCUCGGUGCUCCAGGUUGUGUGUGUUUAGCGGUCUCGGCGUUGUGCUGCGGCUCUCCUUUCUGGAUUGCCACUUCUUCUUUGCCUCUCAUUUCGUGUCUACUGAAGUGUAAGUUCGGUGGCGUGGAGUGGGGUGGGAAGGGGGGCCCGUUUGGAUUCCGUGCUUGCUUCGGCGUGUUUACAUUCCUCCCGAAGACCGCCACCGCCCCCACGCCACUCUGUAACGCAACCGCGCUAUCGAUUUUUGUUUGUUUGCUUGGCGGCUGGGCUGUCUGUGCGCGCGCGGGCGUGUUCGUGUGUAUGUGUGUGUGUGCUUUCUUCUGGACAUUCCUUGCGCGAUCAUCUCCUCCUCCUCGGUGUUCGCAGUGUGUGUGUGUGUGUGUGCGUCCGUGCGUGCGUUGAAGCGCUUGACGGCGUGGUGUGCCUUCCGCUUCUUUCUCGUUCUCUGGUCGGCCCUACUCGGACACGUUUGCCCCUCCCCUCUCCCCUCUUGUGGUUUUCCGCGCCUCUCCAAAUUCACUGUCCUCCCGCAGCGUAUUGUCUCUCUCGCUAAGAGGGACAAAACCACGAUUGGCAACAACGCCGGCACCGUCUGGCCCUCUCACGCGCCCCUCCCAAUCACCGCCAUCUCCGCCAUCGACGGUGCCGUCCUCCUUCCUCUUUCAAUUCUUUUUUUUUGCUCGUCGUUGCUCCUUCCCUCCUUUUUCUUUGCCGCGCACCACGCGCGCGCCGCCGUUUUCGCAGUGGUUGGUUGCGAGAGAGCAGCAGACCGGGCGGAUCGUCUUGUCGGACUCUGCUGAUUCGUAUCGCCUUUCGGCUGUGUUGCACUGACUCGUCCCCCUCUGUGCGUGAUAUCGCGUCUCACCUCAGCCGCGACCCAGCCGCCGCGCCUUCCUCCCAUCUCCCCGGUGGCCAAUCCUUCGGUUACUUCCUCGUUGGGCAUCCGAACGCCUUUCUGUCCACGUGUUUCUAUGCGAGAUCCUUUGUGUGCUCAGCCCCUGCAGCUCUUCCUCUUGGCCGAGGUUUAUGUGCGUGGUGCCUCUCUCGCCACUCUGCGCCGGUGCCGCUCAUCGCCAUCGUGUGCUCCACGUACACAAAAAGGCCAAACCGCGGAUACCCCACCACCUCCUCUCGCCUCCAUUGCAUUUUGGUCUGCAAGUCCGACUGGGGGUGCAUACACACACAUACACGUAUAUAUAUAUACGUAUAUAUAUGUGCAUGUACAUAUGUGUUUGUAUGCCGGUUUGCUACUCUUCUCCCGUUUUCAUUUAGCUUUUCAUCCAUACCUCUGCUCCGCGUCGCCACGGCCACCACCGCUGCCAUUACCGUCUUCUCCCUGACGCCCCCCUCCUUGUCGCUUCGUUGUGCCUUUCCGCUUGGCUGUGUGCAUGUGUGUGUGUGUGCAUUGAUACCCACGUGACUUGUCCGGUAUUGCUGUCCCGUGUAUCCCCUCCCCCUUCUCCCUACUGCCUUCUGCACGCACCGCUUUAUCUGACGACCCUUUUAACCCUCUGUUCUGGCUUGGUGGUUGCUCGCGGCUCUCGCUUCAGUCAGCCCCCGCCGCAGUGGCUGCCAUCCUUGUCGCCGUGACCCUUGCCAUUUUCCAAACCUGCAUCCUGAACACGCCCCACCUUGUGUGGUACUCCUCCUCUCUCGCCUUUAACGCAGGCGUCUCAGGGCUCAGAGAGAGCAACACGACGCCGUUCGCCUCCUUUCUUGUCCUCUAACCUCGCGCUUCGUCUGUGCUGAGUGCGUGUCUUUUCCCAUUCGCCCUCUUCUUCCCAUUCGGUGUGACGCCUUCGUGUUGUUUCGUGCUUCGGUUUCGGCAGCAUAACGGCGUGCGGACGCGUGUUCGCAUGUAACGGAACCGAUUUUCGCUCUUGUCGCGGAUAAGCACCAGUGAUCUGUUGGGGGGGGGGUUCCCCCUUCUUCCCUUUUAUAUCUGUUUACUUUCGAGCCUCUCGGCCUUCGGUUGCCGCUCCGUCGCUUUCUCGCCAGCCUCCGCCCUCUCUUCGUGCCCCUUCUUCGUUGGUCUCUUCUCAGCCCUUAUCCCAUAUCCUCAUUUUCCCUCCCCACUCUACCGGAGUGACGGUCCUUCUGUUGCUUCUUCUUUUGUUUUGUCGUGAGGGGUGGGGGUUUUGCGUGUUUGCCUGUCCGCCGCCGUGUUUGUGUCUGUGCUCGUCUCCAUUUUUUUUUUUCUGUGUCUCCAGCGAAGGUAACCUAACCUCGCCUCCUGCAUUGCCUCCUCAUCGGCACCGAUGACCACCGCGCGGUCAUCACCAUCAUCACCAUUACCUGAAGCUUCUUUUUCUUUGUCAUUGCUUUGUGUUCGUUCAUAUCGGUCCAAGGAGUACUGCCGACGCGCUUUCUCCAUCUUCCCUUUUCCACAAGCUCCCGUUGAUCAUCAUCAUCACUAUCCUCUGUGAAGGAACGAGAGGACGCACUCAGCUCCCUCCAUCUCCCCUCACCAACGGCAACGGGAGCACAGCCCCCCUCCCCCCUCCACACACACACACACACCCACCCACCCACACGGAGUAACAUAAUAACUGCAGUACCCGCUCUUCUCUCCCGCAUUCCUCUUACUCCUUUUGCUUCAGAUUCGUGAAGGGUUUCUGAUUCUGUCUCCAGUGCCCCCUCCCCCGUUGCCACUCGCAGUGCCACACACGCACACAGUCACGCCCUUGUGUUUUUCGUUCUGUUUUGCGCCCCGUUGUCUGCCGUGCCUGCUUCUCGCCCAUCUGCCUCUUGGCCCACCGUGUGACGGCUCGGCCUUGCCUCCCGACUGCCCUGCGGUCUUUACUUCCUCCCUCUUGUUCUUCACCUGUCCCUCUGCACAGCAUCCAUCCACCCUCGUCGGUGCGUGCGUGCGUGUGUGUGCGCACAGGCAGCAGCUGCGCCGGCCAACCAGGGAGCGAGGAGGGAACGCAGCGCGUCGAACGCACGGCUAGGGAGAACCAAGUGGUCUCUAGCAAGCUUUAUGUACUCUGCGGCAGGCAUGCGCGACGGCAACUGCGAUGAGGCGCAGCCACUGCCUCCGCCGGUGGUGGAGGACGCAUCUGCCGCGGUCAUCUCGGAUGCGGUCCAUACAAGCUGCCACGACUUUUCUUGCUCUCCAUCGGAAGCGACGGAAAACUCGACGCUUGCAUUCUCGCCGCCGACGCAGGAGCCAACACCGUUGCCGACGCCUGCCGCGCGUCUCUUUACUUCGCGGCCCACCCCGAACGCCUCGCCACUCAUCGCCGGCACCCGACCAUCGCGCUGGCCGAGCACCUCGCCGCUGCGGUCUUGCGGAAGUCCCAUCGUGACCUUCGCGCCGUCGACCCGCUUUGAUCAGUGCCGCCAGCGCACCAAUGUGGCGGUACGGCGAUCUGAUGACGUGCCGCACUUCGCGCUGCCGGCCCCCUUGCUAGAGCUGCCGCUGUCGUCCACGUGGGCCUCAUCAGGGCAGAUGACGGACUCUGCGUUGCGGGCCAUUGGACUACAGCAGCCCUGCGUCCUCGCCGGCAGCCCACCCACGCCCUCGCCACGGCGGCCCCCUUCGUCUACGCAGAGCGAGUGCCUCAGGGACUUUGCGGUUGAUGACUUCAGCGACACUGCGUCCUCCGCUGACUCUGCGUGCUCUACGAAUUCGUCAUCGACGACGCUCCUCGACAGCGACAUCCCUGCCGUGCGGCCGCGCACUCCGCCCUCACUGGCGCUUGGACUUUCAAUCCCCAGCGUGGUCUUGCUAGUGCCGCCGGACUGCAAGCACUCAGCUAUUCCCUCGGUGACGGAUGAGAUCGACAGCUCAACUGUAGCCGCCGUUGGCACUGCUACGAAGACAACGCCGCCGUCGCUCGCGAACACCAGCGACGUGUCCUUCACCCUGCUCGAGCCAGAGAAGUUGGCGCGCACAACAGCCCACCUCCUCACUGAGGCUGUUGGCUCGAUUCGUGAGCAGUGUCACGUGGCCAGCGCGAAGACAGAAAGAGUGAGCGCUGCUCUCGCUCAAUGCCGCCAAACGACACCAGAGGCACCCCUGAUAGAAAAGCCAUGUCUGAUGAGUAUGAAGGUGCCACCACCACCGCUUCUCGAGAGCCUCUCGCUGUCGUCGACCCCCGAGGUGACGCCGUCUAUAGCACCACUGCUGCUGGCGCCGUCGCCGCCGACGAACUCAGUUGAGCUGGCAAACUCGAGAAUGGCGCUGCGGCUGCCUGACACACCCGGCGAGCAACUGCACACCGCUCCUCUCGAUCCCGUCUUUCCCAGCAACAAUGCGGAGUUGCUGGUGAACGCCGCAGCAGAGGUGACGACCCUGUGGCAACGUAAGCCCUCGUCCACCGCCAUUCUUGUACUCUCGCGGUGGGGCGGCGAAGAGCUCAAUGAGUCCUCACACCCUACUGGUUUUCCGGCCGCCAACGCAGCAGCGGCGAUAUUCACGGCGAGAAUUGCUGAGGUAUCUUGUGACAGCAACCACGGUGCCGGGGCCAUCGAUGCGCAGCCAUCGAAGGCUACCACACCGCCGCAAACGUCCUUCGUGACCGCUCCCAGUAGCGGCGGUAGCGACGCUAGUGACAAGUGUGAGGGCGCCGUGGAGAACUCCUGCACUUCCUUCGCCGGCACUGAGCAGGUCGGCGAAGACGGCGCGGCCGUGACCACCCAUCCAACACCGCAUCCCCCGCUACACCCUGCGGAGCUUCGCUCCCCUCAUGACCAGGAGCGUUGUGCCGUCGACUCCGCCGCCGCUGCGGGCACGGCGCGGCUGCGGUCACCGAGCCCGGCCCACACACCUUCGAGGCCGCGUCUUUUUCAGCAUCCGCUGAAGUGCUCUCCAGGCGUGGCCACGUGCAGCCUGGCCAUGGCCUUCGAGGCAGGAGGAUCCCCGUCCUCGUCCGCCGAGUCGCAUGCAGAAAAGGACAGCGGAACUCAUGAGAGGUUCUCGCAACCACCACUGCGCAGCGACGCUGCGAGAGAAGCUCUACGGAGCAGCUGUGAAGGACCUGCUCCUAUUUCUGUCACCAUGACCAGCGGCAUCGCUCGUGCCGCGUUUCAGCACCUUGGCUGUGCCAUGGUUGAAGACGACGACAGCGCCGACGCCACUUCACCGGCGAAGCAGCCCAUUCACAGCGGCAGCAGUAGCAGCCGCAGCUGUGACGUCGGUGCAGGUGCGCCGUGCCUGAUGAAGGCACAAAAAGAUGCAGCAGCAGCAGGUUCACCACUGCCGCUGGCAUCACCGACACCACCGCGCUCAGUGCUAGCGACGGGGUGUCCGUCGUUGUUCCGUCUCAGCGGUGACCGAGGCAGCAGCCACCUCCCACGGUGCCCUCAGCGACAGCUCUCGAUGCAGCCGAUAACGCCCUUCACCAACGAUAUCACCUCUGCCACGACGAGCAGACCUCAUCCAUCGUCGUCAUCACCCGUGCGGCAGCCAACAGGGGGCCUCGAUGCAUCCUUGUUGUCCCUCACAAUGGAGUCCAGCUCUGCACCAAGGCGGUCAGCGAACUUGUCUCUUUCCGGCACACCGUCGCAGCACGCGUUCCCGAUGCUCUGCAGCUCCCCGCACGCCUUGACAGCGACGAUCACGACGGCACGUCAGUACUUCUUCGGUAGUGAAGGGUCGAGAAGCCCUACAUCUACGACUCGGAUAGGGCCCAGGCUCCUCUCUCCGUUUCCGCCGCUCAGCCGCAACGCGCCGUAUGGCGGCUCGGCCCCAAUCUCGCCAAAGGGGGCCGGUACGGCAGAUGAAUAGCGACGGCGAGUACAGUUCUGCAUCCUGCUCCACCGUACCCGGACACGUUGGCCAUCCACACUCCUCUGCAGCCGAGCUCGCCCCACUCCUGCGCGGCACAAUAACGAGCGGAGCACCGGGUAACUGACCUCUAUGUGGUAGAUCGAUCCGUUCCGCGCAAUCACCGCUUCUGCUACGACACAGCUCCUCUUCAUCGCCUGGUGCAACCUCUCCGUCUCUGAGGUGUGCCUGAGGACGUUGGGGUGUGUGCAAGGGCGCAUUGCACCUCAUCUUUCUAAGGGGAAAAUAACAGGGCCGCACCGUCGCCGUCUUUUAUUGCGCCCAUUGCUGCGGAUGCAGUGGUGUCCAGUUGCACACGCACGCGUGACUCUCUCUUUUCCGCUUCAUGACUUCUUCGUCGCUCCUCCACCCUUCCCCUUUUCGACGACCUCUGUCUUGCCUUUGCCGCUGCAAGGGGUGCGCGUGCAUGACGGGCUGUUGCUGCUGCUGCUGUCGUUUGUGCUUCCCUUUUUCGUUUUUUUUUGUUUUCACAUUGGCUUCUUUCUCCUUACUCUUUUGUGUAGGAGGGGAGGGGGCUAACUUCCACACCUGUCUUCCACCGUAUGUCUGUCCGUGUCUGUCGGUGUAGCAUGCACCUCUCCUGCGUGUAGUAGCCACGUGUAUGCUUGGGUGCGUUGUGUAUCUUGGUACUCCUUCAGUUCAUCUCUCUCUGUUCUUACCCUGUCUUUCUCCUCCGCCUCUUUAUUGUGUAAGUCUGUGCUCGUAUCUACCGGUGUGCGUGUGCAUCUGUGCUAGCUGAGGCCCUCCUCGACCCUCUCCCUCUCCCUCCUCUCUGUGUGCCCUCCCACCCUCGCGUCUGCGUUGCUGACGGGUGCGCACCAGACCCGUGCCCACAACACAGGCGAGAAUGAUGCGAUGAGGUAGAGGAGGGGUGGGGUGGGGUGGGUGUACCACAUCCGUGUGCGUGCUUGUUUAUAUCUGUGUAUUUCGCUGAUCCUCUUCCCCACUCCCGUCUUAAGGCGGCAUAGGCGGCGCAGAGCUCACCAUCGCCGGCCUCCGCCGUUCUCCAUUUCUUCGUCUUUAAGGGGCGUCUAUGCGCAGACGUAUCCGUGCUGCACCCCGCCUCCUUCUCCUCGCCCUGCGCAUCUGCGUGUUUGCCUUGCCGUGCUGCUUGCAACCACCAGCACCACCACCACCUCCCUUUCCUUUUCUUUCCUUUGCUCGGCUCCCACACAGUUCUCCUCUCAUCGCCGUUGUGCGCCGCCUGCGCCGUCUCGCACCUCUCUCGCGCGACAGCUGGCACCCCCUCCUGCCCCGUCUGCCUUCCAUCAGCCGCCGUCUGUAGAACGCGACGCUGGAUGGCGUGUGUCCAACGCGCCGGGCACACACGCGGUUUCUAUCUGUUCCCUUCCUCCCACUCGCUCUCUCUAACUUGCUGUGUGUGUGUCCAUUGAUAGCUUCUUCCCUCGCGCGUUCGCUCUUACCACUCGCCAACAUUCCUUUUCACGUGCGUAGAGGUUGGCCAUGCUUCACACGCACAGCGAAACAGCAGCGGAAC